rnacentral:rRNA from 1 species
AUUGAACGCUGGCGGCAGGCCUAACACAUGCAAGUCGAACGGUAGCACAGAGAGCUUGCUCUCGGGUGACGAGUGGCGGACGGGUGAGUAAUGUCUGGGAAACUGCCCGAUGGAGGGGGAUAACUACUGGAAACGGUAGCUAAUACCGCAUAACGUCGCAAGACCAAGUGGGGGACCUUCGGGCCUCACACCAUCGGAUGUGCCCAGAUGGGAUUAGCUAGUAGGUGGGGUAAUGGCUCACCUAGGCGACGAUCCCUAGCUGGUCUGAGAGGAUGACCAGCCACACUGGAACUGAGACACGGUCCAGACUCCUACGGGAGGCAACAGUGGGGAAUAUUGCACAAUGGGCGCAAGCCUGAUGCAGCCAUGCCGCGUGUAUGAAGAAGGCCUUCGGGUUGUAAAGUACUUUCAGCGGGGAGGAAGGCGGUGAAGUUAAUAACUUCACCGAUUGACGUUACCCGCAGAAGAAGCACCGGCUAACUCCGUGCCAGCCGCCGCGGUAA